GGGCAUAUGGUCUAGUGGUCAAGACGUCUCAGUUGCAAAGAAUGUUCAAAGUCCUUACAGCUGUUAGAAGGUGAUAGACAGCUGAAAUAGGAUCGAAUGUUACAAUGCUCCAUGAGAAGGCCCCAGGUUCGAAUCCUGGUACGUCCA